AGGAAAUGUACUUCCUUCUUAUUUGAUUUGCCAAUGUUGAAAACCGAACUUCAAAUAAAAGAAUUUUGGAAGUAUUAAGAAAACGGGAAAUGUUGUGUAAGGUGUUAUGAAGCUUUCUCAACUUCUUGGCAGAAAGGAAUCAACCCUGAUCGCCUGCAAGGCCAUGAAAUGCAUCCACGAUGGUCUUCAUUUAUCAUCUCUCUGUACUAAGUGGUUUGAGACAGUGUCUCACUAUGUAGUUCAGGCUGGCCUCGAACUCAUGGCAAUGCUCCUGCCUCCGCCUUCUAAGUGCUGGGAUUACAGGUGUGUGCUACCACACUCAGCAACCUUUCUGGGCUUCAGAAUUUUUGUUUUGUUUGUAAGUAAUAAUACAUCUAUCUUGUAAGCUUAUUUUGAAAAUAAAUGAGGCAAUACAUAUAAAGCCCCAGAUGAGAGACCUAGUUUACUUAA